GCCACCCACCGCUUUGGUCUUCAAUUAGCCGCCGACGGUGGAGCAGGGAGGGCGCGCAAGGCUGCAGGCUGCGAGGAUGGGGAGGAGCCAUGUAAGCAAAACGCAGAACAAAGCGCUGUCACAACUGUGCCUCAUGCUUGUCGCCUCCUGCCUGCAAGCAGCUGAACGUUUCCUGCUCAAUAUCAGGCAGAAAGGGAUGGAUGAGACACAAUGAGAGAUUCAGGAAUUUUCGAGGAGCUGUCUGACUGUCAUCCUUCUAAAGUAGAGAUGCCAUCCCAGUGGCCUGAUGCAGCAACCAGCAAGCAUAGAAGUGAGAAGAGCAAGGAAGCUGUGAAAGAGUGGCAAGUUUAAUUCUUAGGAGUAGUAAGAAAUCAGAGGAACAAAGAGGAGGUUUGGGAACAGCUUCUGUGCAAAUGCAACGUGUGAGCCCCCUUAGUCUUUGAUAAGCAUUGUUGCAAACCAUUCCUGUAUGGGUCAAGGGAGCAGUUGCUGGUGCCCCCUGAGGCCUGCGAAGAAAGGGAUAAAAUUACAGUAACGAUUAAAAAGGAAAAAAGCAAUUGGUAUGUGACAUUUUUGUGGCACGCUUGGCCGGUUUGAAGACUCCAAACAUGCUAGUUGUGCAGAUUUUAAAGCAAGUCAAUUUCAAUCAUAUCUUUGGAACAGUGUCUGCACUCAAUUAUUUUACAUAGGUUUGUAUUAGGCUGCAAAAUCGCACUGGAGAUGAAUGCUGCUUUUGCUGGGUAAAGAGUCAUUGGGGCUAAAAUUUGAUUUAAAGCAGCCUGAGGUCUUUGCAUCCCUCGAGGGAAAAAAGCUACAGUCCCCUGGGUUCUUAUGGCAUAAUGUGUCUGAGCUGUUUUCUUUCUAGCUCAGCUAUAGUGUAAGCUAAAUUGGAAAACAGACAUUUAAUACUGAAGCUUUGCAGGGCUUUGGGGAAAUCUGUUUUCUGAUUGGCAGGAAUUGUUGCCUCAGCCCGCCUUCUGGGCUCCAGCCAGGUUUCGAGCUGUUUACAGGUCCUUAAAGGGGAAAGGUGACACAACAGCUCAUAAUAAUUGCCCUGAAUAUGACUGAGUAAAUGUUCAUCAUUCUAUGAAGGCCACCUUAAAAUACCUGAUGGAUUGAUCUUGGCCACUUUGACUGAUUGCAAUUGCUUAGUAUCCUAGAUUGAAGAUAGUACAAGGGCCUGUUUGUUUCUUCUUCUCUUCUAUAGGGAACAAAGCCUUGUGGCGAAAUCUUGGAGGGCUGAAAGAAUUACACAGCGACCAACAAAUCGCCUCUGGAGUGUUCACAAGCAGGAUAUGGAAGCUUAUUACUCUUUCCCUAUGGUUGCUUUGCAACUGGUAUUUGGAGGCAUUGAGGUAACAUUGAUUCUUCAGUAUUAAUGGUCAUUGAUAUACUUGUCCAAAUGAAUUUAUACACACCUCUUUUAAAGCCAUUCAAGUUGGAGAUCAUCCCCAUACCUUGUGUCUCUGGAGAUUCUCAAUCGUCCAGGUCAUGGUUGUCCCAAAAAUGCUGUUCAAAAGGCAACUGGACAAACAAAUGCAAUUACAACCUUAAUUGUACACUCUUAGAACUAAAAGCACCUCUCAUUCAUGUAUAUAUGCAUAACUACUAUCUUAAAGGCUGGAUGGCCAGGUUAUGUUUGGAAGACAGGUUAUGUUUGGAAGACAGGUUAUGUUUGGAAGAAAAUCUGGAACUGAACACACUCAAAACAGUAGAAAUGGUGGUAGACUUUAGGAGAAACCCUUCCAUACUUCCACCUCUCACAAUACUAGACAACACAGUAUCAACAGUAGAAACCUUUAAAUUUCUAGGUUCUAUCAUAUCGCAAGAUCUAAAAUGGACAGCUAACAUCAAAAACAUCAUUAAAAAAGGACAACAAAGAAUGUUCUUUCUGCGACAACUCAGUAAGCUCAAACUGCCCAAGGAGCUGCUGAUUCAGUUCUACAGAGGAAUUAUUGAGUCUGUCAUUUGCACCUCUAUAACUGUCUGGUUCGGUUCUGCAACCCAACAAGAAAAACACAGACUUCAGAGGAUAAUUAGAACUGCAGAAAAAAUAAUUGCUACCAACCUGCCUUCCAUUGAGGACCUGUAUACUGCACGAAUCAAGAAGAGGGCCGUGAAAAUAUUUACAGACCCCUCGCAUCCUGGACAUAAACUGUUUCAACUCCUACCCUCAAAACGACGCUAUAGAGCACUGCACACCAGAACAACUAGACACAAGAACAGUUUUUUCCCGAAGGCCAUCACUCUGCUAAACAAAUAAUUCCAUCAACACUGUCAAACUAUGUACUGAAUCUGCACUACUAUUAAUCGUCUCAUAGUUCCCAUCACCAAUCUCUUUCCACUUAAUGACUGCAUGACUAUAACUUGUUGCUGGCAAUCCUUAUGAUUUAUAUUGAUAUAUUGACCAUCAAUUGUGUGGUAAAUGUUGUACCUUGAUGAACGUAUCUUUUCUUUUAUGUACACUGAGAGCAUAUGCACCAAGACAAAUUCCUUGUGUGUCCAAUCACACUUGGCCAAUAAAAUUCUAUUCUAUUCUAUUAUGCAUGGUAUAUUGUUCUACAUUUGCCAUACAUUUAUUUAUAUGCAUACCAAUCAAUGUGUGGCUUGUACCAUCUUGGAAGUCUUUCUCACACCUCCUGGUAUUGUUUUAUAGACAAUUGUUGUCUUGUUCUGUUCUUAUGGGAUUUUUCUGAUGUUUGUGGAGCCAUCUUUUGAAAAAUUAUGUCUUUGCAUACUUUGUUGUGCCUUCCUUGAAGUCAUCCACAUGCUAUGUAAGCUCACCUGAUACAAAUUCUGCCUUUUUGGUCUGUAUAGAGUCCCAUCUUCUUCACCUUUCAAAUAUAAGGCAAUUAUUAAUGGCAGUUAUACUAAUAGUGGUUGACAUGGUUUGAACACAUGCAAACAGCAUCACAAAAUGUCACAUACAGUAUAAUUAAGUCAGUAUCCAAAAUGCCCCAGUGCUUUCACCUCCCAACCCUAUUGAGUUGAUUUCAUCUAAUUUGGGAGAAGCAGCACAUUUGCAUUAAUGCUUCUAUUGACAACUCGCCCAAAUCCAUUGGCCCAUCAAUUAAUUUACUUUGAAAAACUGAGAAAUGUUUAAUGAAAAUUAAUUCAAAGAACUAGUCAAAACCUGUAAAUGUUUUGUAGCUCAUAGUUUGAAAUGUUUUUAGUUUGUUGGGCUUGAUGCUAAUGAGUACCUAAUUAAAGCAGCAAAUCUGCUUUAAAUGUAUAUAUUUACAUGUUUUUAUCUGUAUGUACAGUGGGCAUGCAUUGUAAUGUUUGCAGUGUAAUAUAUUAGCACAUGCAACAUGCAGCAUUAGUUCUUUUUUCCUGCACUGAAUUGCUUAUAAAGAAGUUUCAUUUUAGGUGGAACAAAAUAGGAAUUUUGUUUGUACCCCAUUUUACUAUCCAAAGCUAAAUCAUCAUUAGUUUGUUCAGCAGAAAUUGGUUUAUACUAAUAUUUUAUCUUAUAAUUUUCUAGAUGUUACUUCUAGGGUACACUGGCUAAAUUCUAAUUCUGAAAACACCUUGUUCCCACAGUACUACUAGUACUGUCUUAUGUCAGCACACAGUACUAAUAGUACUAUCUUACAUCUAAGGAUAUUUACCCAUGUAGUGUAUGGCUGUAUUCUUCUUCUUCUUCUUCUCAUCUUUUCUACUACCUUAUCCUAUUGGUAUCUUAUUAUUAUAUUAUCUUGUUUGUAUGAAUGUACACUGAUUAUAUUACCUUGUUGUUUGUAUGUACACUGAGAGUUUAUACACUGGAGACAAAUUCCUUGUGUAUCCAAUCACACUUGGCCAAUAAAGUAUUCUGUUCUGUUCUUUUCCAUUCCAUUCCAUUCCAUUCCAUUCCAUUCCAUUCCAUUCCUGGUUUAGGGUCAUCUUAUUGCUUAAGUAAAUGGAUAAAUGCUAGUGCCUCUCUCCUUCCUUAUAGAGUCAAGGAUUCUUGUGUAUCAAUCUGGCAUGGUCUUUAGCUAAUGCUGCAGCUGAGCACUGUUGGAGAGCUUAUUCUUUUGGUCAAGGAAACCUGCUUUGCUGAGCUUCCGCUUCUAGAUGGCUUAACAUGCACCACAUGUACCGCACCUACUUCCUGUAAGCACUGCCAACAAAUUCUUCCUGUGGUUAAGACUUAUACUAUUUUAUGUAUUUAUUUAACUUUGAGUAAAUCCGGGUAAUACAAAUGUCUAUUUUCUCUUUUUUUCCUAAUUCUUUUAAGGCAGAAGUAUGUUUUACGCUCAGGCAUUUAUUUAUGAGUAUUGUAUGUAGUAUACUAUUUUACUUUAACUUAUUGAAAAUAGUAUACUUCCAAUUGCCUGAUUUGCUUUUUCCUAGCGUUGCCUUUCUUCCACGUCAUUUCUAUCAGUUCCAUAAUGCAUAUUAUUGGUGUAAUUAAAACCUUGGAAACUCAUUUUGAAGAAAAGAUUGAACUAAAUGAACUGGCUAGAAUAAACAAGAAGCCAUAUUUCUCUUUCAACAGUGUUACUCAACCUUAUGUAAAUUUAAGAUGCUAAGGGGAACUGGCAAACUACUUAUAAACAAUUGCAGAAAAACCCUGCAUAGACAUUUUUAUGAAGUCACCAGUAAUCAAAUUUGAUCCAAAGGAAAUCUUACCUGAAAGCUUAAAGCUAGAGAUAAGUAAAAAUGAAAGAGUUCCUGAGGCAUUCAUUUAAGCAAAAGUAGUUCUGUAGUCUAUAGGAAUAUAAUUCCAAAUUCAUGGUAAUAAACUGAGAGCCUCUGAGAGGCUCCCCCCCCAACAUUUGGCUUUCUUUAAGGAAAAAACAAUACUUGUACUGCCAUCUGUAGCUUACCAAAUGAUAUACAUUUUUUUUCAGCAAUAGAUUUUUAGACCAAUGAGAGUCCACUUUCUUUAUUUCUGGAAUAGGAUAAUGAUCUUUUUCUUUUUGGAGAUUAUGGAGAUAUAGGUACUACAACUUCAGUUUCUCUACAAGAUUAAUCUUAGUCAUUUAGGUCACAGUUGUUUAAAGUUUACCUCAACAGGUAGCAACAACUGCUGGCUUUGGCUGAUGUAGAAAACUUAGUAGGAUCAAGUUUGGUUGGUUCUUGGAUAAUAGAUCACCCCAGAGGAGCUGUGCUACAGUCUACACAAACACAUAGAUAUACACACCCAUCUUGGGAAAGGUAAUGGCAAACCAUUUCCAUCUUGUCACCAAAAGACCUGAAUGGAUAGUCCAUAUAAGACACCAGGACUUUUAAAAUCCAAUGUACUUUUUCGGAGUAAGAAAUAGGUUUUUAAAGACGUAGAUGAGAGAACAGAAAAUAAACAUUAGGCCUUUCUUAAUAGCCAUCUGUAUCUUUAAAGACCAACUUCUUACUCUGAGAAAAUAUAUUGGAUUUUAAAAGUUGUCAUAAGUGGUAUUGCUUUGACUCUAGGAGGGACAUACAGUACAGGUAGUCCUCGACUUAUGACCAUAAUUGAGCCCAAAAUUUCUGUGAGUUUUGCCCCAUUUUAUGAUCUUUUUUGCUACAGUUAACUGCAGUUGUUAAGUGAAUGGCUUCCCUAUUGACUUUGCUUGUCAGAAGGUGAUCACAUGACCCUGGGACACUGAAGCCAUCAUAAAUUUGACUCAGUCAUCUGAAUUCAAGCAUCUGAAUUUUGAUCACAUGACCACGGGUAUGCUGCAACUGUCAUAAGUUUGAAAAAUGGUCAUAAGUCAUUUUUUUCAGUACUGUUGUAACUUGUCACUAAGUGAACUGUUGUAAAUUGAGGACUACCUGUAUAUGGAUUAUCUGUAGGCGGUGUUUAUAUCAACUUCAAAUGUUGAAUUUGUUGGCUAUUUGUUUCCCAGAGUUUGGACCAUUUGGGAUGAGGCUGCUACAAAUCUUAAUUAAUGACUAAUCUGCCUCCGUCUGGUUGGUUAAUCAGUGAUAAAUUAGGUGAUUAAAUAUAAAUAUAUUUGCAUAUUACCAAAACAUAACUGUAGCUGCCUUUCUGCAUGAAGUUAGAAUUUACAGUGCAACCCAAACAAAGAUCUCUCUCGAGUGUUACUAGGGUUGUUUUAUUUCUUCCCACCAGAACUAAAUUAGUAUUAGAAAGUAAUCUGUUUAUCAAGAUUUGGUUUCUUCAGAUUAAACAAAAAUUUUCAUUGAUCUGGUUCAACUGGUUUUCACUCUACAAGUUGAAACACUGCGAAUACUGUUCAGAAUAUCUAAAAUAAUAUACACGCCAUUUAGGAAGAGUAUAAUAAAACACAUAUUCCAGACUAAAGAAAGUUAAUCAUGAUUAUAUUCCAGAUACAUUUCACCUUUUUUUGGCUUAUUGAUUUCAAUCUUGAAUAAAUAUGUAGAGUUUCCAGGGAUAAAAUUGCUGUACCACAACAAAACAGUAGCUCCUUUAUUUUGGCUUAUUAUCAUAUGCACUAAGAGUCAUCAAGAAAUGUAUGGUUUGGUUUAGAUUUUUAAACAAGAAUUUAUA